AUUGAACGCUGGCGGCAGGCCUAACACAUGCAAGUCGAACGGCUGAAGGGUGCUUGCUCCUUCAUUCAGCUGCCGACUGGUGGGUGAUUCCUAAGAAUCUGCCUGGUUGCUUUGUAUAACGUCCUGACACGGGCGCUCAUACCCCAUACGUCCUGACGGCGUACGUGGGGGAUCUUCGGACCUCCCGCUCUCACAUGAGCCUAGGGCGGAUUAUCUUGUUGGGGGGGUAAAGGCCUACCAACGCGACCAUCCGUAACUCGUUUGCGAGGCUGAUCAGUCACACUGGAACUGAGACAAGGUCCAGACUCCUAAGGGAGGCAGCAGUGGGGAAUAUUGGACAAUGGGCGAAAACCUGAUCCAGCCAAGCCGCGGGGGGGAAGAAGGUCUUCGGAGUGGAAAACACUUUAAGUUGGGAGGAAGGGCAGGAAGGUAAUACCUUGCUGUUUUGACGGUUCCAAAAGAAUAAGGACCGGCUAACUUCGUG
rnacentral:rRNA from 1 species